rnacentral:rRNA from 1 species
CCUACGGGAGGCAGCAGUAGGGAAUCUUUCACAAUGGGCGAAAGCCUGAUGGAGCAACGCCGCGUGCAGGAUGAAGGCCUUCGGGUUGUAAACUGCUUUUAUAAGCGAGAAAUAUGAUGGACACUUAUGAAUAAGGAACGACUAAUUACGCGCCAGAAGCCGCGGUCAUACGUAGGAUCCGAGCAUUAUCCGGAGUGACUGGGUGUAAAGAGUUGCGUAGGUGGCGAAAUAAGUAGCUGGUGAAAUUUGGUGGCGCAACAAUUCAGACUAUUAGCUAAACUGUUAAGCUCGAGACCGUUAGGGGUAACUGGAAGUUCUAGUGUAGGAGUGAAAUCCGUAGAUAUUAGAAGGAACACCAAUAGCGUAGGCAGGUUACUGGGACGGUUCUGACACUAAGGCACGAAAGCGUAGGGAGCGAACGGGAUUAGAUACCCCAGUAGUC